rnacentral:lncRNA from 1 species
AAGCCUCAGGUGAAGAUGGGCAAGCAAAUGGUCCAGAUGAUGAAAAAGUGAAGCAGUACAAAAAAAAAAUCGUUAACAUAAUCCAUGAAUAUUUCCUCUCAGAUGACAUUCCGGAGCUUAUCCGGAGUUUGGAAGAUUUGGGGGCACCUGAGUAUAAUCCCAUUUUCCUGAAGAAGCUGAUUACCCUUGCCAUGGACAGGAAAAACAAGGAAAAGGAAAUGGCAUCUGUUUUGCUUUCUGCACUUCAUAUUGAGAUUUUUUCUACUGAAGACAUAGUCAAUGGAUUUGUGAUGCUACUGGAAUCCGCAGAAGAUACAGCACUUGACAUUUUAGAUGCUUCCAAUGAACUUGCUCUUUUCGUUGCUAGGGCUGUAAUAGAUGACGUCCUUGCUCCACUGAAUUUGGAGGAGAUAACGAACAGGUUGCCACCAAAUUGCAGGAGCGGUUGCGAGACUGUCUCUAUGGCUCAAUCACUUCUAUCUGCACGCCAUGCCGGAGAAAGGAUCCUGAGGUGUUGGGGUGGUGGGACUGGCUGGGCUGUGGAAGAUGCAAAAGAUAAGAUACAAAAGCUUCUUGAGGAAUUUGAAAGUGGUGGUGUUAUCAGUGAAGCUUGCCAAUGCAUACGAGAUAUGGGGAUGUCAUUCUUCAAUCACGAGGUAGUGAAGAAAGCUUUGGUUAUGGCAAUGGAGAAGAAGAAUGAUAGGAUGCUGGAUUUACUGCAAGAGUGCUUUAACGAGGGGCUUAUCACCAUCAACCAGAUGACUAAAGGCUUUGGCAGGAUCAAGGAUGGGCUUGAUGAUCUGGCUCUUGACAUUCCGAAUGCAAAGAACAAAUUCAUGUUUUAUGUGGAGCACGCCAAAGAAAGAGGCUGGCUGUUACCAUCCUUUGGGUUUCCGGAUGCAUCUUGAUGAGUAGAUUCAUAUACAUUAGUUUGUUUCAUCUCUGUGUGUUCGUUGUUGCCUUCUCUUUAGUGUAGCUCGUGCCCUUUUACUUGGGGAGUAGAUGGACAGUGACUGCCCCAAUCCCUUUAGAGUCCUCUUUCAUUUGAAGUUUUUAAAAUGAUGGAUGUUGAUGUAAAAGUUAGGGCGCUCGUGUUCCCCUGCUGUAGUGGUGAACGCAAACUGCAUUACCUUAAUCUUUUGCUGUUAUUUAGAAUGUUGUUAGUACAGAUCAGUUACUUAAUCCUGUGCUUGCUGAAGUUUAAAUUUUUUUUUGUUUUAGGUCAAAUCUACAUUAUUGACUUGCAUUAUGCCAUUCGCGCAGGUGAAACGACCACAAAGCUUUCUUUGUUUCAGUCGGUUAUUUGAAGACGAAUGUUCUAGGUGUAGACUGUAGGGUAGACGGGGAAAGGCGAAAAACAGAGUGAAGAUUGGAAGAUCUAGAGCUUGUGCAAGGGUGACAAGCAGUUUUAGUCUAUUAGUACUCUAGACUUGAGAUCUCUGGUUUAAUCAAGGGCGCUAAAGGCUAAUACGACUUCAUGGUCUAUAUUGUUGAAGACUAGAUAAAAGGGAAUUGCUUUAGUAGAACUGAAGAGAAUUAUGGAUUUUGAUUUGAUAGGUUGGAUGAUCAUAUGCUAAGAUUAGAGAGCGUAGAGAGCUCGAAUCUAGAAUUGAUAGUGUUUCCAUAAUAUACAUAAUUGAGUAUUUGAGUUCAGUAAGGCGUGAGAGAGAACACGGAUCAUCGAUAAGCUAUCGCUGAGAGUUAUUGUCAGACUUAACAUAAAGCACACAUUAAUCUCGUUACUGGGGCAACAACUCUUUAUUCUUACUUUCAAAAACUUUAAAUACUUUACUAAUGUUGAAAAAGAAUUACUCCUCAUUCAUCUUUAUGUGUUCAUAUUUGAAUUGAUACAUUUCUUAAAAAUAAUAAAUAAAAAAAUAAUUUUAUCACAUUAGAUAAAUUUAAUAUUUUAAAAAAUAUUUAAUAAUAAAAAUAGGUGAUACAAAGUACUAAUAAAUAUAAAAAGAUACUAAAUUACUUUUAAAUUUUUAGACUGGAUAAGUAAAUUAUAUCGAAAAAGUAAAGAUGUAAGGAGGAAGUAGUAUCAUUUAAACAACCCCUCUCUGCAACAAAGUGUUAACAAGUUAAGCACGUAAGCUAUUUGUCUGCAAGUGACAGCAUCAGUAUAAAUUUUCGGUAGCAAAACCUUUAACCUUUUCUUUCUUUUUUAAUUAAUAACAGCAGCCAAACCUUAAAGUGGAGCUCCACAAAUUAAAAUAACCUCAGCUUAAACGAGAAGAAGCCACGUGGAUAGAAUCAUUGUACUUGCUGACGUGUACCUUUAAUCAUAGUCUAGCUAGUCCCUUCUAUUUAUAGUCUACAUUCUCAUCCAUUUCAACUCUCUCACUCCUUUUUUUUUAAUUAAUUAAUUUGUCAACAAUCAAAUCUCAAUCCAUAAAUCCACAGAUAAACCUAUACAUACAAAAUUACAAAACAUCCCAUUCAUAUACUAUAUAAUUUACACACAUAAUUCUUCCCUUUGUGCUUCAUCAAUUUAGGGUUUUACUGGAGCUUUUCUUGAGGACGAUCGAUCGAAUUCUCGAUUUUUGUAUCCUCUCUCUUGGCUCACCAUCCGAGCCAAGAACAGAGGAAUUCAUUCCCUAUACUCAGAGAGGUAAAAAAUAAAUAAAUACUCAAUUUGUUUGGCCUACUUUUCUUUUUAGUUUAUUUCAAAAAGAAUUUUAUCCCGAUAACAUUGCGGGAUACCUGAUUAGUUAUAGUUGUAGUGUUAUUUUUAUGUGGCAUUGAAGGUGGAAUAAUAAUAAUACUGGGAAAAUUAGUCAUCUCGGAUAACUUGUUUUCUAACCAAACGUGCCCGAAAUGUUCAAUACGACAAGAUUAAGGAAAUUUUGAUUCAUUUGACAUAUUCAAAGGUAUAUUUUAUUUUCUUAGAACUCCGUAUAAAAUCGAAAUAGUUGAAAGGAAUUGAAACUGAGGGAGUAAAUAGUUGUGUGCUUUUUGUUAAGCGGGAGAAUUGAUGAUUUGAUUGUGUGUAGGUUUUGUGAAAUGGAGUCAAGUGAGGGAUUUCUGACUGAACAACAGAGGGAGAUGCUGGAUAUUGCUCCGCAAAAUGUGGAGGUUUUGUCAUCUUCUCCGAAGUCACCUACGCUGAAAUCUCCAGGUGCCAAAUCAUCCUCCUCAUUUCUUUUAUCAGAACAUCAUGUGAAGGCACCAGGCGGUGGGAAGGCAUCAACGGCUGGGAUUGCUGUGAGACAUGUACGGCGUUCACAUUCAGGGAAACAUAUCCGGGUUAAGAAGGGUGAGUAUUACUUUUUGGCUGAAUCAAUCGUGACUAUAUUAUAGUUCCUUUUAAGUAUAUGUAUUGAAUUUCUUACUCUGAAUUAUGAUGGACUAUCUUUUAUUACCGAGUCAAGAGACUACGUACUGGCGCUUAUUAUUGCGCUUAAGAUGAAAGAAGUUUUAAGUGUCUUAACUGAUUUAAGGUUACAAUGAGUAAUCGAAAUAGAAAUGCCAUUAUAAAUGCCUUUUUGAAACUAUCCUCAGUGGAUAGAGUUUCUUGAUGCCUCUUGCUAGAACGAGGCCACGAUGCAGAGUAUUGUACUUAAAGCAGUUCUUGUUUUUCGUCUCGCGUGAAUACUCCAAGAGUUCCCCUUAAGAGUUUGAUUAAGGAUUUUAAAUUGAUAAGUUCGAAUAACUUUUCAUCAGAGGUAGAGGUAUGGACUGCGUACAUCUUAUCUUACCCCCCCCAGACCCCACUAAGUGGGAAUACACUGGGUUUGUUGUUGUUGUUGUUGUAAGUUCGAAUAACUUGUAAGGUUUUACCACUUAGUCCAUUACAUUUUUAAAACUAUGGGCUCAAAUCUAAUUGUUGUUGAAAUUUCAGUACUUUCCACAUAGUGCAUAUUUUCAUUUCAUGUGAAAAAAUGCUGGCUUCAGUUGAAUUCAUGAUCCAUUCUGCCUAUGUUCCCGUAAGCAUGUAUAUUGUACGAGUUCAGUUGAACUCAUGCUCCGUUCUGCCUAUGUUCCCGGUAAACACCUAUAUUGUACUCCACACUAUAUCAAUAAUCUAGGAGAGUACUCGUUUGCUCAAGAGUGUGGCCCAAAUCCAUGAAGUGGAAAAUUACUUGGAGAUCAAAUUUCAAAUUCAAGCAAGCUUUUAAAAAUACUGAGUAAUUUUUCUUGUUUGGCGGAGCUCAAAACAUCUCCAUUGUAUUUUGACACCAUUACACUAGCAAUAAUGUUCACAUAAGCUUUUUCACGAGUUUCAAGGAUUUUAAUUCAUUUGACAAGUCACUUUUAGAACAUGAGGUGAUGUUUUCCUUAUCUUGUUAAGUUUUCAGUUAGUCCUCCAACAUUUUCUUUUAUUACUAAUAUAAUAUAAUACGCAUAUCAAGUUGAUCACUUGUAAACAGGUGGAAUACCCGGAACACAAGGGGGGAAGGGCGGUAGAGCUCUAUCACCUUUGCCGAGGCAAAUGGUGUUGAGAUAAAGUAGGGCAGACAGAGUGUUUAUACUUUUGGGGGGCUGGGGGCGGGGACACCCUUUUAUGUGUGAGCAGUGUGUUCUGUUGAUGCCUACUGUUCAUGUUCGUCACACAAAAAUCUAACUAAUAGGGGCUAAAUUUUAUCAGAAGACAUCCUUGGCGGGAGUGUACAUGAGAGAUAGUCCAAGCAUUUUUCUAACAUUAGGUUCUCCAUCUCUUUCCCAAUCUCUCUCUUUCACAUGUUUAUUGGCAUGUGAGAAGUACUAGCCUAGGCUUUGGUAAUCCUCCUUGUCUUGCCUCAUCCGCCUGGAUCCUUCCCUAUUGAUAUUACAACAAUAGAAGCCUGAAAACUGGUUAACGGCAUCCAUCUCUCUUUCAUACUUUAUCAGUGUUCUGGAAUGCAGAGGCAAACUGAUUGUAGGCUUUUUUUCCUUUUUUUCCUUUUUUUGGUUCAUAUACUGAAGGCUUCCCUUUAUUUGAUGGCGAGAAACAGAUGGUGCUGGUGGUAAAGGCACUUGGGGAAAACUGCUCGAUACUGAUGGUGAAUCUCAUCUUGAUAAAAAUGAUCCCAACUAUGAUAGUGGUGAGGUGAGUCCUGCGACUUAUUCAACUAUACUUCUAGGAUGAGGGAAGUUACUUUGGUUAUAUUGCACGUGACAUUAUUCUUUAUUGGAGUGCUAAAAUAAUUUUUUGGUAGUAUUACACUUUACAAUAGACCACAAUCAUCCCUCAAGUUCUAAAACCAUUCAAAAUAUGUACACUAUGCAAUUGCGGAGUAGAAUAAAAAAAAGAAUUUAAAAGGAGGGAAGGGAAUCGGCGAUGAUGAAGAAUAAUGCAAUAGUAAAAACGAUUUUAGUUCUAAAUAUCAUGAUUGCAGAAGUUAUUUUUCGAAGUGCUUCGUAAUGCAUACCCAAUGCACAAUUAUUAAUUUGUUUUUGCUUUUGCUUUCUUUCCUGUCUAUUGGCAUCUGUCUCCCCGGGUAUUGAUUUGCUGUGGCUCCCAAUUUUUUUUAAUCGACAAGUCAAAUACCUAAAAAUUGUGAUUCCUAAAGACUCGAAACACAUUUUCCACGGAGGAACCUAAUUCACCGCUAAGCAAGGCUUUAAUUUUUCCCUUGAAGUAUGUAUACUCAACAUUCUUCUUUAUGGCAGUUCAAAUCAAAAUUUUAGUAAUAGUGAGCAAGAGUCAACACCAACAUACCCCUUGUAAUCCCAUGAGUAGGAUAAUGUGUAUGCAGACCUUAUCCCUACCUUGAAGGGAGAGAGACGGUUUGCAAUAAACCCUAGACUCAGGUAUGCAAAGGAAAUAUAAUAAUGAAGAAGUCAUGCUGAAAAUCAUGGAGAGAAGAACAAUAGCUACAACAAAUAAUACGGUUGAUGGUUUGCAAUAAACCCUAGACUCAGGUAUGCAAAGGAAAUAUAAUAAUGAAGAAGUCAUGCUGAAAAUCAUGGAGAGUAGAACAAUAGCUACAACAAAUAAUAUGGUAACCGAAGCAAAGAAAACAAUAAGUAAUAAUAACAAUCUAAGAAUAAGAUAAUGGGGGAAUAAUAGUCAUUAUCCUGACAAGGAGAACUGGACAACGAUCAACAACCUACUAACCUUCUACCCUAAUCCUUGAUCUCCCUAUCUUUCUAUCUAGGGUGGAUCACCUCUCCGUAAUUCUUCUGUUUAUUCAUCCUCUCUUCAAAUCCACUGUGACUAACCUUUCUUACCUCCUUACUGCGCAUCUGUCCAUCUCCUCUUCACAUGCCCGAACCAUUUCAACUUCAUUUCCGUCAUCUUGUCCACCAAAGAGGCCAUUUUUACCUUAUUCUGAGUGUCUUCAUUCCUAAUCAUAUCUCUCUUAAUAUGUUCACACAUUCAUCUCUACAUCCUCAUUCUCGUUACUUCUAUCUUUUAUACGUGAUGUGUGAGUUCUUGGCCAACUAAUACUCCUCAUACGACAUAGUUGUUCUAACAACCACUUUCUAAUUUUAAGUUUUGGUGCACAUUCUAUCACACAAGACACUUGAUGCAAGCCUCCAUUUUAUCCACCCGCUCCAAUACGAUAUGUAACAUCAUUGUCAGUUUCCCCUUUUUUUGUAUUAUUGACCUAAGGUACUUGAAACUUCCUCUCUUAGAGAUUAUUCAUGUAUCGAUCUUCAGUUCCACAUCUGCCUCGUGAGUCACAUCACUGAACUUGCACUCAAAGUACUCUGUCUUAGUUCUGCUUAACCUGAAUCCUUUGAACUCCAGUAUUUGUCUCCAAAUCUCUCGUUUAUCGUUAACUCCUCGAUGUGUCUCGUCAAUCAAUACUAUGGUACCUCCCCUUGGAUAUGUUAUGUCAACUCAUCCAUCGCCAAGAAAAAUAAAAAUGGGCCAAGAAUAUUACUGGUUAUGAGCAGUCUUUUAACACAACAUACAUAUCUUUGUUAGGGUAAUUUUAAAUUUUCCAUUUGGAAAUUCCAUUUUUUGUGAAGCAAUUGAUUCCUGGUCUAGUCUGUUGUAUCUGUAAUUGAUAGAUUAAUCAGUAUCGUAGGAUACUGCCUCAGUGAUUUUUCAUAAUGGUUUAAUAUUAGUGUUGUUUCCACCUUACACUAAAUGGACAGGAGCCAUAUGAGCUUGUAGGAACAGCUGUCUCUGAUCCAUUAGAUGAUUACAAGAAAUCUGUAGUAUCAAUUAUAGAGGAAUACUUCAGCACCGGUGACGUGGAACUGGCUGCAUCUGAUCUCAAGGAAUUAGGUUCAACCGAGUAUCAUCCAUAUUUUAUUAAGAGACUUGUUUCUAUGGCAAUGGAUAGGCAUGACAAGGAGAAGGAAAUGACUUCAGUUCUUCUUUCUACUCUGUAUGCUGAUGUCAUCAACCCUACCCAGAUCAGUCAGGGAUUCUUCAUGCUUGUGGAGUCUGCUGAUGAUUUGGCAGUGGACAUACCAGAUACUGUUGAUAUCCUAGCUUUAUUCAUCGCACGGGCUGUGGUUGAUGACAUUCUUCCACCAGCUUUUAUCGCAAGAGCCAGGAAGACGCUCCCAGAAUCCUCCAAGGGGAUACAGGUGCUGCAAACUGCUGAGAAGAGCUAUCUCUCAGCUCCACACCAUGCAGAGCUUGUUGAAAGGCGCUGGGGUGGCAGCACCCAAUUCACUGUUGAGGAUGUCAAGAAAAGGAUUGCCGAUCUAUUGAGGGAGUAUGUUGAGAGUGGAGAUAUUGUUGAGGCAUGCAGAUGCAUAAGACAGUUGGAGGUUCCUUUUUUCUAUCACGAAGUCGUCAAGAGAGCUUUAGUUUUAGCCAUGGAGAUGCCGUCUGCCGAACCACUUAUUCUGAAACUUCUAAAGGAGUCUUCAGAAGAGGGUCUAAUAAGUUAGUUCCAGUCAAAUGGUGAAGGGCUUUUCUAGGAUGGCCGAGAGUAUCGAUGAUCUUUCUCUGGAUAUUCCUUCUGCAAAAACUUUGUUCCAGUUGAUUGUUCGUCGGGCAAUUGCUGAGGGUUGGCUUGAUGCAUCUUUCUUGAAAGCGUCAGGUGACGAUGGACAAGCAAAUGGUCCAGAUGAUGAAAAAGUGAAGCAGUACAAAAAACAGAUCGUUAACAUAAUCCAUGAAUAUUUCCUCUCAGAUGACAUUCCGGAGCUUAUCCGGAGUUUGGAAGAUUUGGGGGCACCCGAGUAUAAUCCCAUUUUCCUGAAGAAGCUAAUUACCCUUGCCAUGGACAGGAAAAACAAGGAAAAGGAAAUGGCAUCUGUUUUGCUUUCUGCACUUCAUAUUGAGAUUUUUUCUAGUGAAGACAUAGUCAAUGGAUUUGUGAUGCUA